GAGGGUAUAGCUCAGUGAUAGAACAGGUGCUUAACAUGCACAAGGCCUUGGGUUCAAUCCCCAGUACCUCCA
rnacentral:tRNA from 1 species